UUUACGUUUUCUGUACAAAGUGAAAACUGCGAUACGGUGGAUACGACGGAUACGGCAAGGCUCGCCGAUUUGAGCUUGAAAUGCAUCGGAAAUGCAGAGCUGGCCACCGAAUUGUGAAUAAGGUGAAACUAAACAUUCACCGGGACGAACAUCUGCGGUGAUGGGAAGUUACCGGAGCUACCAGAGAAGCGAUACCGUGUUCCAGUAAUCCACUCUGGAGGAGUUAAGCUCCAAUCUGAUGAAGCAACCAAUUCAAGUGCGAAGCCAAAUUGAAAUCGAGCGUUCUGGAUGCAAUUCAAAGGAAAACCGCAAGGAACCUACAGCCACGGUGAGAUUGAUGAUGCGGAACAAGCAACUUCUCCAUCAAGCACGGAGUUUUCAGCUAAAAAUAAUUUUGAGCGAGGCAUGCGAGGCUUUCCAGCGAUGUUGAUCGAGGCAUGUGGCGGCGGCCAAGGCAGGUGUCGACGUUAGUAAACUGACCUAGGCGAAGGCCGUAGUAAGCAGAGUAUGGCUAGUCGAUACGAGGACAUCGCUUAAUAAGCAGAAUCGUUUCGGCAAAUUGGACUGCCUUGAGAAGCCUACCAAAAAUCUCCAUCGCACUCCAAAUAAGGCAUAUAACAGUUGUCUCUGCAGAAGCAGUUUACACCAAUACGUCUUAGCUGUUUAAUAAGCCCAAUCAAAAAGCUUACCACCAUACCCGUUACUGCAAGUCCUACCAAGGUCUUAGCUCGUCAUCGUUUCCAAACUUUUGCCGAAUCAGAUACACCCUUCCUUCAAUUGCCCUACAAGCCCCGCAGCCUGGCCGAACUGUUCAAGUGUAUCGUCAUAGUUUGUGCCACGUUCUACAACCACAAGGAGCAAAUCACCUUCAAGAAACAAACUUGUACGAAAGCCAUGCACAAAUUAAAACCCUAUUCCGAACAUAAAGUCUACAAAACUCCAAAUCUUCAAUUACUGUUCAGCAAUCUUCCGUCCGAUGCUCUCGUAAUACUGAAUCCUUGACUGAAUCUUAGGUUGCCCUCACCAUUUCGUAUCCCGAACCCUUGACCAUAAUCAUCGAAGCGGCCUCUGGCGAUCUACUUGGCGAUUCUCAUCAGCAUGUGGGACCAUUCAAUGUCGCAAAUCUGAAACAGAGAGUUAGAACAAAUCCGAUAAUGUUGAACGAUCAUCGGUAUAUGGUCAUUCGAUGUCCACAACUUAUUUCGCUACUGCUCCGUGAGUGUAUUUUGAAAUGUUCUAUAUUCUGCACGCAAUAUUACAUUACAUAUGUCCGAAGUUCUGCGCACAAUAAUAAAAACACAGUUUACGAGCGUUUUAGCUUUGCUGCUAAAGGAGGCCAUUUUUCGAUGUUAGAUAUCGCGGUCCGGUCUAAUAAAUUUUCAGGUUGGUAAUUUUCUCGACUUCCCUUCAUUGUGGUCCUGAACGCAAUGGAACGGAACGGCGACGGUGGGUUAACUGCUUAAUCCUACCGUUAUUGUCGCUGUUUCGUUCCAUUGCGUUUGGGGAUUUACCCUCAUGAUACAUAUACAAAAUCAAGAAAGGCACUUCGGCUUACAAACCUCGCAGUAAAUAACUGGGUGGAUGCGGGGUCACUAGGUCGAAUGGGAAAUGGAGAAUGAGAAGUGAGUAGUGCGAAGUGAGGAAAAAGUAAGAAGGAAGAAGAAUGUAGGAAGAAGGAAAAAGGUAACAAGUAGAAAGAAAGAGAAAAAAUGAAGUGAAGACAUUCAAAUAUAAAGCUCAAUAUAAUUUUCUUGAGGGAAAAUGAAUAAAAGAUUUAAGAAAAAAGAAAGAUGAAGGAAGAAUGAUAAAAGAAAGAUGAAGGAAGGAGGAAGAAAGAAGAAGAAAUAAGAAUAAAGGAAAUGGGGAUCAGGAAGAAAAAAAAGGUUGCAGUAAGAAGAAAAAGUAAUAAACAAAAAGGAAAAUAAAGAAGGAAGAAGGAAGGAGUAUGGAGGAAGAUGGAAAAAGGAAGAAGAGAGAAGAAAGAAGCUUCCUUCCUUCUUGAAGAAGGAAAAAAUAAGAAGAAUGGAGAAUGAAGGAAGGAAGGCGGAAGAGAGAAGGAAGAAAAAACAAAUGGAGUAUGACGAAACAAGAAAGACAAGGAAGAAGAAAGAAUUAAGAUAGCAGAAGGA